rnacentral:lncRNA from 1 species
GUUUUUAUGUUCUUUACACAUUAGCCAAGUACUGGCCACUGGAGUGGAAAAAACCUCAGACGUUUUAGGGGAAAAAGUCAUUUUUAUCUUUGGAGAGACAUGUUUUCCCAUCCAUUCACGUUCAUCUAAAAAAGACAAGAAUCUUACCAAAUCAAGAACUGUCCCAGGAAUCAACCCCAUUGAUUUCACUUUGGCAUUUUAUUGUACUUUUCAAGAGUAGAGAAAAAUACAUGUAACCAGAAUGUAUACAGAAAGUAUUCAAAAUGUAGACAUAUCAAGUCAGGAUGGGAGAACUGAAACCAGGAAACUGAGCAAUCAGAAUAAGACAUUGGAAGCAUCAGAGCAGGAGGUAAGUGGUGAUCUGAAGAAAAAGAAAAGGG